GCCUCGGUGGCUCUGAGGCGAGAGCGCCGGCCUACGGAUGUGGCGGGUUCGAAUCCCGGCCGAAGUG
rnacentral:tRNA from 1 species